rnacentral:rRNA from 1 species
UUAGCGCGUGUAGGCGGACUACCACGGUUGGUUGUUGAAAUCCCCCGGCUUAACUCGGGGAACUGGCUUCCAAUACUGAGCUAGAUCUUGGAGGUGGGUAGGGGAGACUGGAACUUCCGGUGGAGCGGUGAAAUGCGUUGAGAUCGGAAGGAACGCCCGCGGCGAARGCGAGUCUCUGGACCCAUACUGACGCUGAGACGCGAAAGCCAGGGGAGCAAACGGGAUUAGAUACCCCGGUAGUCCUGGCUGUAAACAUUGGGCACUGGGUAGUGGAACCGCCGAUGGUUUCACUGCCGCAGGGAAACCGUGAAGUGCCCCGCCUGGGGAGUAUGGUCGCAAGGCUGAAACUCAAAGGAAUUGGCGGGGGAGCACAA